CAAAAUUUCUCCCAAGAUAUCCGGCCGCCCUCACGAUUUUUUUCUUCUCAGACGAUCGUGACAUGAAUCUUUGGAUUAAAUCCGUCAUUAUCAAGCCUUUCGGCCUAUUUAAACUUUCGCAGCCAAAUAUUCGCAGUGUGGGACGUGCUCUGGCCCGGUCGCGUUGGACCGACGACGUUGGACUACGUAAGAUUGCCGAUUUAGCCAGGAUGAAGAUUGCGGAAAACCGGGAUGUCUGGCGCGAACUUGCGGAGGCCUAUGUCCAGCAAUAAGCUGAACUGACUGACUGAGCCAAAUAUAUUUAAAAAAUCUAAACAAGUAAUACUAAAUAUAUAGAAGAUUCGGUUUUUUAUUAUAUGUACAAUAAUUCUUUUGAAAAUUCUUUUAGCAAGAGAAUGUCACGUUACCAAUAUGUGACAUAGACUUACUGAGAGAAAACCAUAGUUACCUAUAGUUACAUAUAAUCGAACAUUAUUAUUCUUACUUAAAAUUACUCUACAUAAUAUGCAAGUCUUAAAAAGUACAAUUGCCUUUAGAAAUGUCAGCCAGUAUAGUUUGUUUCGUAUUAUUCUUGAAUUCAUUAUUAUUAUUAUUUGUAUCUUUGACGCCAUUUAAAUAUAUAAUGACAAUAAUUAUAACUGACAAUAGACAUCGCGAUUCAAAAUUUCCCAACCCCUUGUAUUACCAUCAGUUUAUCUUGUCACCAGCCGGCCUAGCAUGCAUACAACGAGAUAUAUCUUGACGAGAGAGAGAAAUAAUGUCUACAUCGAGUAUUUUCUCGAUUACCCUAACAUGCGCAC
rnacentral:misc_RNA from 1 species